AGUGAACGCUGGCGGUAGGCCUAACACAUGCAAGUCGAACGGCAGCACAGUAAGAGCUUGCUCUUACGGGUGGCGAGUGGCGGAUGGGUGAGGCAUACAUCGGAAUCUACUUUUUCGUGGGGGAUAACGUAGGGAAACUUACGCUAAUACCGCAUACGACCUACGGGUGAAAGCAGGGGAUCUUCGGACCUUGCGCGACUCAUUGAGCCGAUGUCGGAUUAGCUAGUUGGCGGGGUAAAGGCCCACCAAGGCGACGAUCCGUAGCUGGUCUGAGAGGGUGAUCAGCCACACUGGAACUGAGACACGGUCCAGACUCCUACGGGAGGCAGCAGUGGGGAAUAUUGGGCAAUGGGCGCAAGCCUGAUCCAGCCAUACCGCGUGAGUGAAGAAGGCCUUCGGGUUGUAAAGCCCUUUUGUUAGGAAAGAAAAACAGCAGGUUAAUACCCCGCUGUUCUGACGGUACCCAAAGAAAAAGCACCGGCUAACUUCGUG
rnacentral:rRNA from 1 species